CAUAAAAGGAGGUUGUCGGUGGUUGCCUUGAAGCUGGACUUUUGGAAAGCGUUUGAUUCUGUUAGCUGGGACUGCCUUGCACAGGUUUUACAUGCAAGGGGCUUCCCUUCGUGGUGGACACAGUGGAUCCAUACGCUCCUCUCCACCGGACGCUCCAGGGUGCUCAUUAAUGGUGAAGCGGGCAAACCCAUCCUGGCAAAGAAAGGGUUUCGACAAGGGGAUUCCUUGUCGCCAUAUCUCUUCAUCCUCGUUGCUGAUGUGCUCCAACGUUUAUGCUGCUGGCAUUUUCAGAAUGGCAGACUGGUACACCCUCUUGGCUCAGAUGGUUUCUUCCCAGUCCUACAAUAUGCGGACUACACUCUGAUUCUUUUUCAAGGGGAGGUGGAGCAGGCUAGAGUUAUCAAGAGCAUCCUCACCGCGUUCUCGGAGUUCUCGGGGCUGACUAUCAAUUACCAGAAAAGCACCUUGGUGCCUAUCUGUGUGCCUCAGAUGUGGCUAUGGAAAUCACCCAAAUUUUUGGAUGCCCGAUCUCUUCCUUUCCAUGUACAUAUUUGGGACUGCCUCUCUCUUUGUAUAAGAUCAAGCAUGGUAUGCUGCUCCCGGUUAUUCAGAAGGUUGAUCGUCGCCUCUCCGGUUGGUUGGCCACCUUCCUUUCUUGGGGUAGUCGGCUAA
rnacentral:rRNA from 1 species